rfam:Citrus sinensis cultivar Ridge Pineapple sweet orange scaffold00787_contig_9, whole genome shotgun sequence.
AUACCACGAUGAGGACAUAUUUCGAGUAACUCCUUAAAUCUUUCAUAUGCAUCAGACAAGCUUUUAUCUUCAAGUUGAUGGAAAUAUGUUAUCUUGUUCCUUAAUUU